CCUACGGGAGGCAGCAGUGGGGAAUCUUGCGCAAUGGGCGAAAGCCUGACGCAGCAACGCCGCGUGCGGGAAGAAGGCUCUCGGGUUGUAAACCGCUUUCAGCAGGAACGAAAAUGACGGUACUUGCAGAAGAAGGUGCGGCCAACUGCGUGCCAGCAGCCGCGGUGACACGUAGGCACCAAGCGUUGUCCGGAUUUAUUGGGCGUAAAGAGCUCGUAGGCGGUUCGGUAAGUCGGGUGUGAAAACUUUGGGCUUAACCCAAAGCCUGCAUCCGAUACUGCUGUGACUAGAGUUCGGUAGGGGAGCGGGGAAUUCCUAGUGUAGCGGUGAAAUGCGCAGAUAUUAGGAGGAACACCGGUGGCGAAGGCGCCGCUCUGGGCCGAUACUGACGCUGAGGAGCGAAAGCGUGGGUAGCAAACAGGAUUAGAUACCCUGGUAGUCCACGCCGUAAACGUUGGGCACUAGGUGUGGGUUUCAACCAACGAAAUCCGCGCCGUCGCUAACGCAUUAAGUGCCCCGCCUGGGGAGUACGGCCGCAAGGUUAAAACUUAAAAGUAAGUAAGUUAGGACGCGUAGAGACGCGACCGAAGGACCAACCAACGGAGGGGUAAGUAGG
rnacentral:rRNA from 1 species